UAUGCAGCUCAGGAUUUUUGCUAAAAAGGAAAAAAGGGACUUGUGUCCAUGGGUCUAUAGAAAGUAUUUUGUUUUACAAGAAAAUCAAUGCAGCAUGUGUUUUCUUUAAUGGUAUAGCAUAAAGGGGAAAUAGAUGAUUUGAGAAAGGGGACAAUCGCAGGGUCAAAUUCAUCGAAUAGGUAACCUCCUUGAGAGGUGAGCCUCAGACAGGAGUCAGCACAGUGCACCCGCCAUGACCCAAAGGAAGGCAGAAUGGAUGGGCACUGAUGCAGGUAUGAUGGUACAUUUGGUAGUGGAAUGGGAGGAAAUUCCCUUUGAUUGCCUUGGUCAACAACCAGCUAAGACCAGAAAUGUCCAGCCUGUGUCACCAAAGCAGAGACUCAUGGGUGAGAUACAUGCUUAUCAUGUUAAGCAACUGACAGUGAAAUGAUGUGUUACUUGAUAUUAUGUAGCAAUAGAUAACUGAAGCAAGAAUUGUCCCAUAUCAGUAAAUAUAGAGCUGCCGCAUUUUAUAAAACAAUUACAGGCAGCAUUACACUGUGCAUGCCUUAUUUCAUUUAUUUUACCAUCUCCCUACUACUGUUUAUCUCAGUUGUUACUAUAAACAAUGCUGCAAGGAGUAUCUUCAUACAUAUAUCUUUGCACACACCUGAAUCUGUACAGAGAAUUCUUGGGUUGGGAUUUCUGUAUCAAAGUGUAUGCACAAUGAUAAUUCUAGAUAUUGGUAAAGUGAACUCUGUACAAAAUAUCAAUUUACAUGAUUGCCCAAAAGUUAUGAGUGCCUACUCCCAUGUAUCUUCAUGUUAUAACUUUUUUUCUUUUACCAACAUGGUAGGUUAAAAAAAAAAGUGAAUUACUGUAAAUGUCAUUUUCAUCCUUCUUACUGGGCAGUCCUAAAAUGACCCCACCAUCUCUACCAGUUUCCACUUACUCUGAACAUCACCUACUUCACAAUAAUCAGCCCUGCCUCCAGGGACACAGAGACAUCCUCGCCUUACACCAUCUUCCCAGUGGUUCUGUUUGGUCCACGUUCUCCUUUUGUUGGAUUGCAUUUGGAAUAAUAGCUCUCUCUGAAGUCAAUGGGUCUUUGGAAUAAAGAGUGUGGAUAACUGAAGAGAAUGGAUGGAGUCCCACUAAGGACAAAGUAGUGAUGCCUAAUGCAGCCUUUUAUCUUCUCCAUUAAAUGGUUAUGCAAAUAAGUGGCUCGAGUGAGACAACCUUCUUGAAACGGACAUGAUUUCCUGGAGGGCUGGAGAAAGCAUAAUGUCUUUAAGCUCUGAGUUGAACCCCUUAAAUAAAGCACUAAAUUGAAAAGAUA